rnacentral:rRNA from 1 species
AUGCAGUCGAGCGAUGAAGCUUCCUUCGGGAAGUGGAUUAGCGGCGGACGGGUGAGUAACACGUGGGUAACCUGCCUCAAAGUGGGGGAUAGCCUUCCGAAAGGAAGAUUAAUACCGCAUAACAUAAGAGAAUCGCAUGAUUUUCUUAUCAAAGAUUUAUUGCUUUGAGAUGGACCCGCGGCGCAUUAGCUAGUUGGUAAGGUAACGGCUUACCAAGGCAACGAUGCGUAGCCGACCUGAGAGGGUGAUCGGCCACAUUGGAACUGAGACACGGUCCAGACUCCUACGGGAGGCAGCAGUGGGGAAUAUUGCGCAAUGGGGGAAACCCUGACGCAGCAACGCCGCGUGGGUGAUGAAGGUCUUCGGAUUGUAAAGCCCUGUUUUCUGGGACGAUAAUGACGGUACCAGAGGAGGAAGCCACGGCUAACUACGUGCCAGCAGCCGCGGUAAUACGUAGGUGGCGAGCGUUGUCCGGAUUUACUGGGCGUAAAGGGUGCGUAGGCGGAUGUUUAAGUGGGAUGUGAAAUCCCCGGGCUUAACCUGGGGGCUGCAUUCCAAACUGGAUAUCUAGAGUGCAGGAGAGGAAAGCGGAAUUCCUAGUGUAGCGGUGAAAUGCGUAGAGAUUAGGAAGAACACCAGUGGCGAAGGCGGCUUUCUGGACUGUAACUGACGCUGAGGCACGAAAGCGUGGGUAGCAAACAGGAUUAGAUACCCUGGUAGUCCACGCCGUAAACGAUGGAUACUAGGUGUAGGGGGUAUCAACUCCCCCUGUGCCGCAGUUAACACAAUAAGUAUCCCGCCUGGGGAGUACGGUCGCAAGAUUAAAACUCAAAGGAAUUGACGGGGGCCCGCACAAGCAGCGGAGCAUGUGGUUUAAUUCGAAGCAACGCGAAAGAACCUUACCUGGACUUGACAUCCCUUGCAUAGCCUAGAGAUAGGUGAAGCCCUUCGGGGCAAGGAGACAGGUGGUGCAUGUUGUCGUCAGCUCGUGUCGUGAGAUGUUAA